rnacentral:rRNA from 1 species
GAUGAACGCUGGCGGCGUGCCUAAUACAUGCAAGUCGAGCGAACAGAUGAGGAGCUUGCUCCUCUGACGUUAGCGGCGGACGGGUGAGUAACACGUGUAUAACCUACCUAUAAGACUGGGAUAACUUCGGGAAACCGGAGCUAAUACCGGAUAAUAUAUUGAACCGCAUGGUUCAAUAGUGAAAGACGGUUUUGCUGUCACUAAUAGAUGGAUCCGCGCCGCAUUAUCUAGUUGGUAAGGUAACGGCUUACCAAGGCAACGAUGCGUAGCCGACCUGAGAGGGUGAUCGGCCACACUGGAACUGAGACACGGUCCAGACUCCUACGGGAGGCAGCAGUAGGGAAUCUUCCGCAAUGGGCGAAAGCCUGACGGAGCAACGCCGCGUGAGUGAUGAAGGUCUUCGGAUCGUAAAACUCUGUUAUUAGGGAAGAACAAAUGUGUAAGUAACUAUGCACGUCUUGACGGUACCUAAUCAGAAAGCCACGGCUAACUACGUG